ensembl:lncRNA
AUGAAUAAAGAUGGGGUUAUUUUCAGAAUCCUGCCUCUGGAAAAAGGAGAAGGGGAGAUGGCAGGAACAAGUUUAAACGGAGAAGAAACAGAAAUACCGUCAACAAUCCAGACCCUUUCACCCCCCUCCUCAUUAGUCUCAGAUCUAGGCCCCCCCACUCCGACUGAAUCACCCCCCACUUUCCCUCAGACACCCAAUAGCGGUGGCUGUAUGAUUUUGACGGACAAAGUGCAGUCCCGCCCCCUUAAUCUGAGGUACCUAGCCAUGGCUGCCCUCAUCCACUCACCCGUGGCUUCGCCGCCCCCGUACAGAGUCUGCGAUGAUGAGGGCCGUCUGAACUGGAAUCCCCGGGGGCCCUGCCCCUUUCCGCUCUCCCACCCAUUUGCGGAAAGAGACCACGCCUCGGCGGUUGGAAAGGAAGACAUCCCCACCGCCACAUCCGUCCAGUCCUUUUUCAUGGCCGUCUCGUGCUCCAAACCCAGCGGGGACCCCUCCUUGGAUGCUCACCUAACAGGCUGGGUUAGGGACACUCCGAACCCAGCCGGGAAGGGAGAUGAACAGCCUCCACCUCCAGGAGUCGCUGCCUCCCUCUCAAGCACCACCACAGAGCCCCGGAUCUGGGAAGUCGGUCCAGAGGCUGGUCCUGGAGGGGUGGUGGAGGCCGCUGAUGUGGCACGGGAGGAGGAAGGAAGGGAGGCAGACUUGCGGUUCUCUGACUCAUCAAACAGAACCAGCGCUGAAGCAUCCGUAUCCAAUGCUGAAACAUUCUACAGGGUGAAUACUCCCGCUUCAGCAUCCGACGGCAACAGCGCUAAAGGAAGUGUCGUUCUGAAGCCAAAUGUUGCGGAGACGAUUCCACUAGACAACGCUGAAAGACUUGACUGCCUGAUUGCCUGUGUGAAAGCAACUGACAGCAUCAAUGAAAACAUUGACCCAAAAUGGAUUACUGACUCUAGACCGGGCAGUGUCCGUGAGAAGCUAACAGACACGACCCCUGACAAUCAUUCUGUAGGGUCAGAUAGUGAAAAAACACAUUGUCCAGACUCUCCUCCACUUGACUGUCACGUGAAGCAAUUUGCUGACCUCACCACAGUGACUCAUUUUUCUCAGGUUGACAGUCCACUACCGUUCUCAAACAGCAUGGAUUCUGGAUCUGUCAUGGAGUCAGAGUGUUUCAGUAAGGAAGAAGAAUAUCCUAGAAUGGAGGAAACUUGGUAUCAGCAUGUAGAAGGGGACAGUGUGUACAGCUUCAUGUUCGAUGGACUAACUGCCAUACCAGGGUUGUCUCAGCCACACUAUGGCCCCGAAGAAUAUACUGCCCUCCUCCAGUGUCUGGAUACACCAGGGGUCAACAUCAACCAGCUCCAGUCACACAGACAUGAGAAAAAUAUAGAGAGAAGACAUAGGGAUGAUAUCAUUCAAACAGAAGUAGUUCUGGAAAAUAAAAAAGAGGGAGUAAAGACAACCGAGACAAAUUACAUAAGCGAAAGGGUUACAGAAGAGGAGUGGAAAAUGAUGACUAAAAAUAAGAUGGAAGAGAAAACAAAACAGAGAGAUUCGACAAAGGGACUGGAGAGACAAGGAGUGAAUAUAAAUCCAAACAAACAAGCUGCAAGAAAACAAACAUUGUGUGAGGAACAGAGGAGAGAGUCAAAGGACACCGCCUCUCCUAAAAUGAAAACUGAUAACAAGAAGGCAAAACCAAAAGAGCCUCAGCGCGGUCAAGGACAAAAAACAGAUGCCGACAGUGAGACCGUAAAAUGUGACAAGGCGAAGGAUGAGGCGAAGGAUGAGUCAGUGAAUCCAAGCGGUGUGACAAGUCCUAGGCCAAGGGGAUGGAGGGAAGGCCAAGCUGCAGAGGAGGGGAAAGUGGAGUCGCCUCAAAAAGCUAAUAAAAAGACAAAGGAUGAGAGACAGAAAGAAGAGAGCGUGAAAAAGUGCAAUGCAAAAACAACAGAAAGGAGGAAGAAUAGGACGAGUUUACAGAAGCAACAAACCACCAACAAAGCCAAGACAGAGACACAGAAUAAAGGAAGCAAACCGAGAAGGACAGAGAAGUUCAGCACUCAGGCCCGUUCUAUUAGAAGUGCCGUGAUUAGAACGAGAAGAAAGAACAAAGCAACGGAUGGGGAGAAAUUACAGGCACUGAAAACCGCAAACCUGGCAAACAGCGUGACAGUAUCAGGAACAAAGAAACAAGAGCACAGGGCAAAUGAACAAAAGCCUGAAAAGCCCGGCCCUGCGACAAAUCAUGUGAACACUAAGACAAGCCAAGACACAGAAGGGAAGACCAGGGCACACAGUGAAACUGAUGCAGAGAUAGAGGAGCCAGGAGAUGAGGUCAAGGAGACAACAGUAGCGUCAAGGGUUGUGACAACUCCUGUGACAGGAAAUAGAGGGGAAAUGAAUGGUGCAGAGGCUGAGAAAGAACAGACUCUAAACACAGCCAACAUGGAGGCCGAGACCACUCUGAACCUCUGCAAUGAUGACGAGAGAGGAAAUGGAGAGGAGGAAGAAAGGGAUGAGGAUGUUACGACAGCCGUGAAUGUAAUCUUGAACGAGCCUCCACGAGGCCAGGGACAGAUGGACAAUAGGGAGCCUGAGAGAGGAGUGAAGAAGGCAAAAGAGGGAAGAAUCGAUGCACCUAGUCCUGGCAAAAUGGCAGAGGAGACAAUGGCAAGCACACCAAAAGAGACGUGUAAAGAUCCACUAAAGCCAGGAAAUGAACUGAACACGGAGAGGACAGGCGCCUGUAAGAAAGAGAACAGUUCAAAAUCCUCACACAAACUCCUCACACAUAAGAAAAUUAUUAGGUUUACACGUUCAGAGAAGCACAUCACUCCUAUGAAAAGUACUGUGGCAAAAGCUAUGGAUGAAAUGAUAACUACAAAAAUCAUCCAGGAGGAGGCAUCAAAAACAAGACAGGAAGUGAGAGGAACACGAGAUGAAGGUAAGAAGACGAGGACCGAAACGCUCAGUCCUGUGAUGAAAGGGAAACCCAAAGUUUUAUUAAAAAAGGGGGGAAAUGGAGCAAAGGCGAGGUAUAUUACCAGACCGGUUUACGAAGAGGAAAUUGAGGUAGCUACAAGCAUCAAGAACCCCACAGGAAGGAACAUAAUGGACACUGAAAUAGACAGAACAUCAAGAAGCAAACAGAAGAGAGAAUUGAAAGAAAAACUAGAAACUGAUUCAAAUGGCACUAAGAGAAAAAAGGGAGAAAAUCAACCUGACAGAGGGGAAGACCAGGAGCAAACUGGGAAUGAGCUCUCGAAAGACAGCGAUGAUGAAACCCGCUCAUCUCCUCCCAAGAAGAGACAGAAACUGGGAGGAACUGCGAGAGAAAGAGACAAGGCCAUCAAAAAGGAAAUGGAAGCACAGAAAGAGCUCCAAAACACACAGAGCCAGACCAAAAAGAAGAAAACUACGAUGCGGACGAGAACUGGAAAGGGACCAACCACCUCCAAAGCAGAAAUAGAACAAGUAGAAACAGAUAGCUAA